rnacentral:rRNA from 1 species
GACGAACGCUGGCGGCGUGCUUAACACAUGCAAGUCGAACGGAAAGGCCCUGCUUUUGUGGGGUGCUCGAGUGGCGAACGGGUGAGUAACACGUGAGUAACCUGCCCUUGACUUUGGGAUAACUUCAGGAAACUGGGGCUAAUACCGGAUAGGAGCUCCUGCUGCAUGGUGGGGGUUGGAAAGUUUCGGCGGUUGGGGAUGGACUCGCGGCUUAUCAGCUUGUUGGUGGGGUAGUGGCUUACCAAGGCUUUGACGGGUAGCCGGCCUGAGAGGGUGACCGGCCACAUUGGGACUGAGAUCCGGCCCAGACUCCUACGGGAGGCAGCAGUGGGGAAUAUUGCACAAUGGGCGGAGGCCUGAUGCAGCAACGCCGCGUGCGGGAUGACGGCCUUCGGGUUGUAAACCGCUUUCGCCUGUGACGAAGCGUGAGGGACGGUAAUGGGUAAAGAAGCACCGGCUACCUACGU